rnacentral:snRNA from 1 species
GCCACUUCUUGACCUUUUGGCUAAGAUUGAGUGUAGUAUCUGUUCUUAUAUGUUUAAUAUCAGAUACAUCCCCUACCCGGGAACCGUGUAUUAAACUGAUUUUUGCAGCCAGGAGACGGAACUACGGGGGCGACUGUGGUUCAGUGGGUAGAGCAGUUGUCUCCCAACUGGAGGGUUGGAGGUUCGAAUCACAAUUCCAGCAGUCCAC